rnacentral:rRNA from 1 species
GAUGAACGCUGGCGGCGUGCCUAAUACAUGCAAGUCGAGCGAACGGACGAGAAGCUUGCUUCUCUGAUGUUAGCGGCCGACGGGACAGUAACACGUGGAUAAACUACCUAUAAGACUUUGAUAACUUCGGGAAACCGGAGCUAAUACCGGAUAAUAUUUUGAACCGCAUGGUUCAAAAGUGAAAGACGGUCUUGCUGUCACUUAUAGAUGGAUCCGCCCUGCAUUAGCUACUUGGUAAGGUAACGGCUUACCAAGGCAACGAUGCAUAGCCGACCUGAGAGGGUGAUCGGCCACACUGGAACUGAGACACAGUCCAGACUCCUACGGGAGGCAGCAGUAGGGAAUCUUCCGCGAUGGGCGAAAGCCUGACGGAGCAACGCCGCGUGAGUGAUGAAGGUCUUCGGAUCGUAAAACUCUGUUAUUAGGGAAGUACAUAUGUGUAAGUACCUGUGCACAUCUUGACGGUACCUAAUCAGAAAGCCACGGCUAACUACGUG